CGAAGGCGGAGACCUCGUGCUGUCAGAGGAGCCUGCGUUGGAUUAGCUUGUUGUGGGGGUAAUGGCCUACCAAGGCGACGAUCCAUAGCUGGUCUGAGAGGACGAUCAGCCACACUGGGACUGAGACACGGCCCAGACGUCUACGGACGGCAGCAGUAGAGAAUCUUGCACAAUGGGCGAAAGCCUGAUGCAGCCAUGCCGCGUGUGUGAAGAAGGCCUUAGGGUUGUAAAGCACUUUCAGUGGUGAAGAAAAUGUCGGCGCUAAUAUCGCCGGCCCCUGACGUUAGCCACAGAAGAAGCACCGGCCAACUCCGUGCCAGCAGCCGCGGUAAUACGGAGGGUGCGAACGUUAAUCGGAAUUACUGGGCGUAAAGCGCGCGUAGGCGGCUCGUUAAGUGAGGUGUGAAAGCCCCGGGCUCAACCUGGGAACUGCACUUCAAACUGGCGAGCUAGAGUUCAGUAGAGGGAGGUGGAAUUUACUGUGUAGCGGUGGAAUGCGUAGAUAUAGUAAGGAACACCAGUGGCGAAGGGCGGCCUCCUGGACUGAAACUGACGCUCAAGUGCGAAAGGCGUGGGGAGCAAACAGGAUUGAGAUACCCGUGGUAGUC
rnacentral:rRNA from 1 species